UGAUGCUGGAGGACUCGGUGGGGAUGGGGUGGCCGCUUCCCAGGUGCCGUUGGCUGCAAGCUUCGAGGUAUUGAUUUCUUGGCCUGCAUUUCUGAAAUCAGGUAGAUGGCCCCGAGUCGCAGGAAUGAUUCAGAGAGGGGCUGAAUUCCGACUUGCAGAUUCCACCCACAGCACCUGCCAGAGGGUUUUUCUCGUUUUCCUAGGAAGAGAGAAAGGGCCCCGUGUCCCUGGACUAGCCUGCUGGAGGAGAGACACUCACGGAGAAGGAACACACUGUCCCAGCCCAGGCCAUCCUGGACCAGGGAGGUCCUGGCCGAAUCUACCAGCUGACCAUCAGUGAGUCCAGGCAAGAUCGGCCAAACCUGGUCCAGUGAUUUCAGACUCUAAGUUCCCAGAUGGCUCACACCCUCUUGGCAGGAAGAAGAACCCCUUAAUGAGACGCUGGCCAGCACUUCCUAUACCCCUGAACAGGACGGGUGGGCCACCCAAGCCGUGUGGAGCCAUCUUGAACUUCUUUCCCUACUUGGACCAGAACGCUCCGUUCGCCACCCAGUCUUGUGUCUGUGACUCUGUGAAUAUCUCUCCUCUCCGUCCUCAUGGUCAGACCCUGGCCUAGGCCACCAGCUGUCAUUCCUGCUGACAGACACGUGAGCCCUGCUCCCCCUGCUUACAGCCUUCCAGGCUAUCACCACCCCAGGUAAGAGGCAGACCCCUCACUCGACCCCCAGGACCCCC